GCCUAGAUAGCUCAGUUGGUAGAGCACUGGAUUGAAGAUCCGUUGGUCAUCAGUUCAAAUCUGAUUUUAGGUA
rnacentral:tRNA from 1 species